rfam:Schistosoma rodhaini strain Burundi genome assembly, scaffold: SROB_scaffold0004751
AUCCAGCUGACGAGUCCCAAAUAGGACGAAAUGCGCGUCCUGGAU